GAUGAAGAACGUAGCGAAAUGCGAUACGUAAUGUGAAUUGCAGAAUUCAGUGAAUCAUCGAAUCUUUGAACGCAUAUUGCGCUCUUUGGUAUUCCGAAGAGCAUGCUUGUUUGAGUAUCAGUAAACACCUCAAAACUUUUGAUUUUUUUUUAAAAAAAAAAGGUUUUGGACUUGAGCAAUCCCAACACAAAUCUUUUUUAGAUCGGUGGCGGGUUGCUUGAAAUGCAGGUGCAGCUGGACAUUCUCCUGAGCUAAAAGCAUAUUUAUUUAGUCCCGUCAAACGGAUUAUUACUUUUGCUGCAGCUAAUAUAAAGGGAGUUUGACCGUAUUGGCUGACUGAUGCAGGAUUUCACAAGGGUCGGCAACGAUUCUUGUAAAACUCGAUCUCAAAUCAAGUAAGACUACCCGCUGAACUUAAGCAUAUCAAUAAGCGGAGGA
rnacentral:misc_RNA from 1 species